ACAAGUUUAUAAACUCUUACUAGAUCAGUCUCAUUUGAAACUCCUGGGAAUAUAAUUUUUCAUCUCAAACGAAUAAUGUGGAUGUUUUUAGUUGGAAAUAUUCUUUUAUACCGAGUUUUACAUUACCAUUAGGCCAAUUGUAGAUCUUUGGGGAUUCUAUAGAGAUUCAACAUUUGUCUAAGUUGUUCCUGGUCUACUCAUACUGAUGGCUGGCAAUGUCUGUGGCACUUUUAUAGUUAUGAUUGCAAUUUUCCCUGAUCACUAACAGUACAAAAUUUGUCUAGUUGGUCUAGAACUCAUAUGAGGGAAAUACAUAUGGCUGAUACUGAUUGGACAAAGAUUAUCCCCCUAUACAGCAUAUGGCACAUUUAUUUUUAUGCCAGAUUAUCACAAGUGAGAUUUUGCAGGACAUACAAGUGUAAACUAUUAAAUAGGGGAGAAAGAAGGGAGAGAGAAAAAUAAAGGGCCUGUAUCUUGUAAAAUAUAUAGAAGGUGUGAUAGGGGUAGGCAUGUAUUUUUCUUUCUUUGAAAAUUAAAGUUUUUGUUUUUAUACUUAUAUUUUACCUAUCAAUAAAUCAUUGUACAUUUUGGUUCCUAAACAGCAAGAUUUUAUUGGUAAUAAAGUCUCCUGCAUUUAACAGUAUUAUAACUAAAAUAUAUUUAAAUUUUGAUAUGAUCUAUUAGAUCUUUAGAAAACUUUAAUCUGUGUAAUAUACAAUCUGUUGUUUGAAUCAAUGUUCAGGUUUCCACUGUUGCUAUUGUUAUCUUUGGAAUCCUCCACGAAAACAACGCCCCAAAGCCCCCUCUCUACUACAACCUACAAGUACAUCACAAAAAAGAGGGGCUAAGUCUGUAGAUGGUGCAUUAUCAGAUACAUCAGGAAGUAGUGAUGAUACUGAAGUUGAAAGUUUGAUAGAUGACACAGAAGAUACAGUUUUUGCUGAAGAUGAUGUUGAAAUUAAGUUGUGGCCAGUGAAGGAUGAUGAUUCAGGGAACUGGACGGAGUCUGGCAACGGAGGGCCUUGUGUUUCAGAAUUAACGACUGAUGCUGAAUCAGCAAAAUUUACCAUUACUAAGAAAAGUGAUUAAAAAAUUUAAUUUUCUGUAGUUUAUAUAUUAUCUCAAGAGCUAGUGAUAUAAAGUGCUCUAAAGUUUUAGGGAUAUUUGAGACAAACUUAUUGUGUAAUUCAUAAUCUUUAAGCAUUUAUGAUGCAAAAUGUUUUUUCUGAAACUUGUGUCUGAGCUUAUUUAUAAGAAUGAUUAAGUUUCUAUAUAAAACCAUGUAGUUAUGUGUGUUUUUUCUACAUGACUCAAAGUAAAAAUUAAUAAAGUUAGUAUUAAUACUGA